rnacentral:piRNA from 1 species
AUGGACACAGUUUGACUGUUAAACU